GACGAACGCUGGCGGCGUGCUUAACACAUGCAAGUCGAACGGGGUAUCAGGGUAGUAAUACCCGAAGUACCUAGUGGCGAACGGGUGCGUAACACGUGAGCAACCUACCCCAGAGCUUGGAAUAACACCGGGAAACCGGUGCUAAUACCGAAUACUCUCAUUCGGCCGCAUGACUGAACGAGGAAAGAUUUAUCACUCUGGGACGGGCUCGCGGCCUAUCAGCUUGUUGGUGAGGUAACGGCUCACCAAGGCUACGACGGGUAGCUGGUCUGAGAGGACGAUCAGCCACACUGGGACUGAGACACGGCCCAGACUCCUACGGGAGGCAGCAGUGGGGAAUAUUGCGCAAUGGGCGAAAGCCUGACGCAGCAACGCCGCGUGGAGGAUGAAGGCUUUCGGGUUGUAAACUCCUUUCAGCAGGGACGAAACUGACGGUACCUGCAGAAGAAGCCCCGGCUAACUACGUGCCAGCAGCCGCGGUGAGACGUAGGGGGCAAGCGUUGUCCGGAUUUAUUGGGCGUAAAGAGCUCGUAGGCGGCUUGGCAAGUCGGGAUGUGAAAUCUCCAGGCUUAACCUGGAGUCGCCAUCCGAUACUGCUAUGGCUAGAGUCCGGUAGAGGAUCGUGGAAUUCCUGGUGUAGCGGUGAAAUGCGCAGAUAUCAGGAGGAACACCAACGGCGAAGGCAGCGAUCUGGGCCGGUACUGACGCUGAGGAGCGAAAGCGUGGGGAGCGAACAGGAUUAGAUACCCUGGUAGUCCACGCCCUAAACGUUGGGCACUAGGUGUGGGGCCUAUUUCGACGGGUUCCGUGCCGUAGCUAACGCAUUAAGUGCCCCGCCUGGGGAGUACGGUCGCAAGGCUAAAACUCAAAGGAAUUGACGGGGGCCCGCACAAGCGGCGGAGCAUGCGGCUUAAUUCGAUGCAACGCGAAAAACCUCACCUGGGUUUGACAUGUAGGGAAAAGCUGCAGAGAUGCAGUGUCCUUUUAGGGCCCUUCACAGGUGGUGCAUGGCUGUCGUCAGCUCGUGUCGUGAGAUGUUGGGUUAAGUCCCGCAACGAGCGCAACCCUUGCCCUAUGUUGCCAGCGGAUAAUGCCGGGGACUCGUAGGGGACUGCCGGAGUUAAUUCGGAGGAAGGUGGGGACGACGUCAAGUCAUCAUGCCCCUUACAUCCAGGGCUGCACGCAUGCUACAAUGGCCGGUACAAAGGGUCGCCAACCCGCGAGGGGGAGCCAAUCCCAUAAAGCCGGUCUCAGUUCGGAUCGCAGUCUGCAACUCGACUGCGUGAAGUCGGAGUCGCUAGUAAUCCCGAAUCAGCACGUCGGGGUGAAUACGUUCCCGGGCCUUGUACACACCGCCCGUCACACCACGAAAGUCGGCAACACCCGAAGCCGGUGGCCCAACCAGUAAUGGAGGGAGCCGUCGAAGGUGGGGUCGGUGAUUGGGGUG
rnacentral:rRNA from 1 species